rnacentral:rRNA from 1 species
AGAGUUUGAUCCUGGCUCAGGAUGAACGCUGGCGGCGUGCCUAACACAUGCAAGUCGAACGAAGCAUGCAGGAAGAAGCCCUUCGGGGCGGGCGCCUGGAUGACUGAGUGGCGGACGGGUGAGUAACGCGUGGGCAACCUGCCCCAUACAGGGGGAUAACAGCCGGAAACGGCUGCUAAUACCGCAUAAACCAGGGAGGCGCAUGCCUUUGUGGGGAAAGCUCCGGCGGUAUGGGAGGGGCCCGCGUCUGAUUAGCUUGUUGGCGGGGCAGCGGCCCACCAAGGCGACGAUUAGUAGCCGGCCUUGUGAGGGCGGACGGCCACUUUGGGACUGAAGACCCGCCCCAAACUCCUACGGGAGGCAGCGGUGGGGGAUAUUGCACAAUGGGGGAAACUCCUAAUGCAGCGACGCCGCGUGGGGGGAAGAAGUAUUUCGGUAGAUAAAGCCCUAUCAGCAGGGAAGAAGAAAUGACGGUACCUGAGUAAGAAGCACCGGCUAAAUACGUGCCAGCAGCCGCGGUAAUACGUAUGGUGCAAGCGUUAUCCGGAUUUACUGGGUGUAAAGGGAGCGCAGGCGGCACGGCAAGCCUGAUGUGAAAGCCCGCGGCCCAACCGCGGGACUGCAUUGGGAACUACCGGGCUGGAGUGCCGGAGAGGUAGGCGGAAUUCCUAGUGUAGCGGUGAAAUGCGUAGAUAUUAGGAGGAACACCAGUGGCGAAGGCGGCCUACUGGACGGUGACUGACGCUGAGGCUCGAAAGCGUGGGGAGCAAACAGGAUUAGAUCCCCUGGUAGUCCACGCCGUAAACGAUUAAAUACUAGGUGUCGGGGGCCAGGGGCCCUCGGUGGCGGCGGCAAACGCAGUAAGUAUUCCACCUGGGGAGUACGUUCGCAAGAAUGAAACUCAAAGGAAUGGACGGGGACCCGCACAAGCGGUGGAGCAUGUGGUUUAAUUCGAAGCAACGCGAAGAACCUUACCAGGCCUUGACAUCCUCCUGACACGGCAUGUAAUGUGCCAUUCCUUCGGGACAGGGGAGACAGGUGGUGCAUGGUUGUCGUCAGCUCGUGUCGUGAGAUGUUGGGUUAAGUCCCGCAACGAGCGCAACCCCUGCCCUUAGUAGCCAGCGCGUAAAGGCGGGCACUCUAGGGGGACUGCCGGGGAGGACCCGGAGGAAGGCGGGGAUGACGUCAAAUCAUCAUGCCCCUUAUGGCCUGGGCUACACACGUGCUACAAUGGCGUAACAGAGGGAGGCGAAGCCGCGAGGCGGAGCGAACCCCAAAAAUAACGUCCCAGUUCGGACUGCAGCCUGCAACCCGGCUGCACGAAGCUGGAAUCGCUAGUAAUCGCGGAUCAGAAUGCCGCGGUGAAUACGUUCCCGGGUCUUGUACACACCGCCCGUCA